AUUCAACUGACGAGUCCCAAAUAGGAUUAAGCGGCGCACGUCCUGGAU
rnacentral:hammerhead_ribozyme from 1 species